AUGGACAUCGCCCAUGAAUUCCAAUUGCUGCUACGACAAUCACAAGCAGUACAAGACUUUAUACUCCCGGCCGAAGUACAAGACCUGCUGCGACAACUACAACAAGAAGAAGGUGACUUUCUACCUGACCCCGACGCCAUAAUUCGCGAGAUUGUCCGCCUCGGCUAUACCUAUAUUACCGAGGCGAACAUGGACGACAUCACCCCACACGUCAGCGUCGCGGGUGCUCCAGACCCAGCGUUGGCCGUGGCGGUGGCGGAGGCGCUCAAGACUGUGGACACGCCAGCCGACGGGCACGACUGUCCGAUUUGCAUGAAGGAACACGACUCGGCGGCGUGGAAGGAGACGCCGUGCGGGCACCGGUUCCACGGGCGAUGCGUGGAAAGGUGGCUGCAAGCCAAGGGGAGCUGCCCCAUGUGCCGGCGCCAGGUGGUGACCAUGGCCCCCCACCGCCCCUAG
rnacentral:rRNA from 1 species